rnacentral:rRNA from 1 species
UGGGGAAUAUUGGACAAUUGGCGAAAGCCUGAUCCAGCCAUGCCGCGUGUGUGAAGAAGGCCUUUUGGUUGUAAAGCACUUUAAGCGAGGAGGAGGCUACUUGGAUUAAUACUCUAGGAUAGUUGACGUUACUCGCAGAAUAAGCACCGGCUAACUCUGUUCCAGCAGCCGCGGUAAUACAGAGGGUGCGAGCGUUAAUCGGAUUUACUGGGCGUAAAGCGUGCGUAGGCGGCUUUUUAAGUCGGAUGUGAAAUCCCUGAGCUUAACUUAGGAAUUGCAUUCGAUACUGGGAAGCUAGAGUAUGGGAGAGGAUGGUAGAAUUCCAGGGGUAGCGGUGAAAUGCGUAGAGAUCUGGAGGAAUACCGAUGGCGAAGGCAGCCAUCUGGCCUAAUACUGACGCUGAGGUACGAAAGCAUGGGGAGCAAACAGG